AACGCGAAGAACCUUACCUGGCCUUGACAUCUGUCGAAUCUUGCAGAGAUGCAGGAGUGCCUUCGGGAACGACAAGACAGGUGCUGCAUGGCUGUCGUCAGCUCGUGUCGUGAGAUGUUGGGUUAAGUCCCGCAACGAGCGCAACCCUUGUCCUUAGUUGCCAUCAUUUAGUUGGGAACUCUAAGGAGACCGCCGGUGACAAACCGGAGGAAGGUGGGGAUGACGUCAAGUCAUCAUGGCCUUUAUGGCCAGGGCUACACACGUGCUACAAUGGCAGGUACAGAGGGAAGCCAACUCGCGAGAGGGAGCCAAUCCCAGAAAGCCUGUCGUAGUCCGGAUCGGAGUCUGCAACUCGACUCCGUGAAGUCGGAAUCGCUAGUAAUCGCAGAUCAGCAUUGCUGCGGUGAAUACGUUCCCGGGCCUUGUA
rnacentral:rRNA from 1 species